rnacentral:rRNA from 1 species
AGAGUUUGAUCCUGGCUCAGGAUGAACGCUGGCGGCGUGCCUAACACAUGCAAGUCGAGCGGCAGCGAGUUUCUCACCAAGGUUCGGAACAGUUGUCAGUAAACAGUCUUCAGUAAUCAGUUGUUCAAUCACUGAAUACUGAGAACCGAUUACUGAUUACUGCAUUCAGAACUUUAGUGAGGAAUGUCGGCGAGCGGCGGACGGCUGAGUAACACGUGGGAACGUGCCCCAAAGUGAGGAAUAAGCUCCAGAAAUGGAGUCUAAUGCCGCAUAUGGUCUUCGGAUUAAAGUAUUUAUACGCUUUGGGAGCGGCCUGCGUACGAUUAGAUUGUUGGUGAGGUAAAGGCUCACCAAGUCGACGAUCGUUAACUGGUCUGAGAGGAUGAUCAGUCAGACUGGAACUGAGACACGGUCCAGACUCCUACGGGAGGCAGCAGUGAGGAAUCUUCCACAAUGGGGGAAACCCUGAUGGAGCAACGCCGCGUGCAGGAUGAAGGCCCUCGGGUCGUAAACUGCUUUUAUUAGCGAAGAAUAUGACGGUAACUAAUGAAUAAGGGUCGGCUAACUACGUGCCAGCAGCCGCGGUCAUACGUAGGACCCAAGCGUUAUCCGGAGUGACUGGGCGUAAAGAGUUGCGUAGGCGGUUCGUAAAGCGAAUAGUGAAAUCUGAUGGCUCAACCAUCAACACAUUAUUCGAACUCACGAACUCGAGAAUGGUAGAGGUAGCUGGAAUUUCCUGUGUAGGAGUGAAAUCCGUAGAUAUAGGAAGGAACACCAAUGGCGUAGGCAGGCUACUGGACCAUUUCUGACGCUGAGGCACGAAAGCGUGGGGAGCGAACCGGAUUAGAUACCCGGGUAGUCCACGCCGUAAACGAUGGAUGCUAGCUGUGGGGGGUAUCGACCCCCUCCGUAGCGAAGCUAACGCGUUAAGCAUCCCGCCUGUGGAGUACGGCCGCAAGGCUAAAAC